UAGAAUAGUUAUUGCUAAGUUGCUUUCACAAUGGAAAAAAAAUAAUAGGUCUCCUAGUAUUGUUGUAUUUGGUUCUCUAAGUAACAUUAUUAUUUAUAUCUAUUUUAAAUUAUUCAUAUUAAUAAAACCAUGACAAGUAUUACUACAUUAUAUUAUUAUAUUUUUAUUUUAUUUUCUUAUAUUUUCUUAUUAGAAAGCACUGUUUUUAUGCCCUAAUGCUGCAACAUGCCUUAACUAUCAAAUAUUAUAUUAUAUUAUUAGUUUUAUAUUAUUUUAUAGUAUAGAAUAUCAUGGUAUAGAAUAGUAGAAUAGUUAUUGCUAAGUUGCUUUCACAAUGGAAAAAAAAUAAUGCAAUUUUUCCUUCAGAGCCCUAUUUUUAAACCCCACUGGAUAUAGGAAAAAACAUUAUUGUUUAAGAUUAAACCCCAAUAAAGGGGGCAAAUCUGUCAUACGACAGCAUAAUUCACAACAAUGUAAGAGACUGCAUUCUUGCAAAGUAUAAAUCAUUGUUAAGCAUGCCUCCAGGCCCUUAGGGAGGCAGUGAAGUUUGGCAGGUGUCACAAAACAAAAGCUGAACAUGACCUUUUGUGUGUUCUUUCAGAAGAUGAAGAGGAGGAUGAAGAUGUCACAGAAAUGAAAGCUGGCCCUGAAAAUGACCUGCAGGAGGAGGAAGAAAGCAAGGACACAAAGGAAGGCCACCCGCGGGAGCUGACGGAGGAAGAGUAACAGCAGGUUUUGCACUCGGAGAAGUUCCUCAUCUUAUUCGCCUGCAGUAUUUGUGCGAUGGAAAGAGCUUUAGCUGAGGACUCCAACAUCUUCUUCGACUACAGCGGACAAGUCCCGGAGGUUAAAGGGGUGAGAAAGUGAUGCGUAACACAGAUGAUUUCUAUGUUAUAAUGGAGUAUUUUAUCUAUUUAUUAUUUAAUAAUAUUUAUUAUUUAGUUUAUUUUUAUAUUUUGUUUCAAUAUUAAAGGGAUAGUUAACCCAAACAUGAAAAUUUUGCCAUCAUUUACUCACAAUCAUGUCGUUCCAAACCUGUAUAAGUUUCUUUCUUAUGUUGAACAU
rnacentral:lncRNA from 1 species